rnacentral:rRNA from 1 species
AAUCAACGCUGGCGGCGUGCCUAACACAUGCAAGUCGAACGCGAAAGGGGACUUCGGUUCCUGAGUAGAGUGGCGUCCGGGUGAGUAACACGUGGGUAAUCUGCCUUCGGGUGGGGAAGUAACUCAGGGAAACUUGAGCUAAUACCGCAUAAUGCAGCGGCACCUAAUGGUGAUUAGUUGUUAAAGCGGGGGAGUCGCAAGACCUCGCGCCUGAAGAGGAGCCUGCGGCAGAUUAGCUAGUUGGUAAGGUAAUGGCUUACCAAGGCUUCGAUCUGUAGCUGGUCUGAGAGGACGGCCAGCCACACUGGCACUGACACACGGGCCAGACUCCUACGGGA